CGGGGGCAGCGCGGGCUGCGCCCGUCUGUGGCCGCCCCCGCUGCCUCACCUCCCUCCCGCCGGCCUUCUCCAGCAGGGAAGUGAGAAAAAGGGACAGAAUGCUCUGUUACAAAGAUGAUGGCUGCAGCACGGAUGGUCGGAUUGUUGGGACAGAAGCGCAAAGGGAGGACUACAGGUGCUUUUGUCCUGGAUCUGAGCAAGGUUAUUUAUGUAUUUUUAAGCUGCAUUAGAUGACAUACUACUAUAAUCUUCUAUGAGUUUUGCUUUACAGAUGUUCCAGAGCAGUCCCAGCUGCACUAACCCUUCUGCCACAGUAGCUCUUCUGCAGCCUGCUGAGCUCUGCUGGUGCCUAGGGCUGGAUUUCCCAAAGUACUUGCUUGGUGCUAUAACUGAAACUUUUAGGCUAGCUUAAACCCUGCCAUGGACUGAGCUGCCAGCACACAUGCAUCGCUGCUUCUAGAAGAACAACUGGAAAGACCGACCUUGCUUUGCUGCCAAGCAGCAGCUGGCUGCGGCUGGAGCAAGGCAGAAGGAAAGAGGGGACUGGGGAAGGCGAUGUUAUGUCUGUGAUAAAGAGGAGAGGGAAACCAAUUUAUGGUUCUGACAUUUUCACAUGUUCCCAGGUGAAACUUUGGUACAAAACCUGAGAUAUUCAGCAUCCAGGAUUCUCUUUGUAGGAGCUCUGCCUCUCCCUGACUUAGUUGCGUGGCACACAGACCAGCUGGGGCUGAAGGUUCGAGAUACCACUGUGUAACAAGAAGGAGAAAGCCUCAGAGAACCUUCUUAGCAACAAACUGCAGCUCAUCCUAGCCUUCUUGGCAAAGUAUGAGGUAAAUACCCUCAUUUCGCUUUCUAAAGGACUUCUCAUUGGACUUCAGCCUCUGUUUAUUCAGAUUCAUGGGUGUAUUAAGUUGAUGGAUUGUACCUCACAUUAGAGCCCUUCCAGAACUGACACUUGACUGCUUCAUUAGCGUCCUAGUAUCAAACUGCAGUAUAUUAUGGUCCAAAUGGUCCAACAGCAGAUACGAAAUAAAUAUUUGGUGUUUUCUUCAGUGUGAAUUCUGAACUAGAAGAGGAGAGAAACACGAAAAUCUGUUAUUUGAAGGCUGCUUUUAACAAUGUUUUCAAUGUGAGUUUUAUAGUCCUGGUAUAACAUAAAAGGCCCUGGAGACUGAA